rnacentral:rRNA from 1 species
AAGCGGAGGAAAAGAAACCAACAGGGAUUGCCCUAGUAACGGCGAGUGAAGCGGCAAUAGCUCAAAUUUGAAAGCUGGCCUUCGGGUCCGCAUUGUAAUUUGUAGAGGAUGCUUUGGGGCAGCCGCCUGUCUAAGUUCCUUGGAACAGGACGUCAUAGAGGGUGAGAAUCCCGUAUGUGACAGGACAUGGCACCCUAUGUAAAGCUCCUUCGACGAGUCGAGUUGUUUGGGAAUGCAGCUCUAAAUGGGAGGUAAAUUUCUUCUAAAGCUAAAUACUGGCGAGAGACCGAUAGCGCACAAGUAGAGUGAUCGAAAGAUGAAAAGCACUUUGGAAAGAGAGUUAAAAAGCACGUGAAAUUGUUGAAAGGGAAGCGCUUGCAAUCAGACUUGUUCUGACUGUUCGGCCGGUCUUCUGACCGGUUUAUUCAGUCUGGGCAGGCCAGCAUCAGUUUCGGCGGUCGGAUAAAGGCCUUGGGAAUGUGGCUCUGCCUUCGGGGAGAGUGUUAUAGCCCAGGGUGUAAUACGGCCAGCCGGGACUGAGGUCCGCGCUUCGGCUAGGAUGCUGGCGUAAUGGUUGUAAGCGACCCGUCUUGAAACACGGACCAAGGAGUCUAACAUCUAUGCGAGUGUUCGGGUGUCAAACCCCUACGCGUAAUUAAAGUGAACGGAGGUGGGAACCGCAAGGUGCACCAUCGACCGAUCCUGAUGUCUUCGGAUGGAUUUGAGUAAGAGCAUAGCUGUUGGGACCCGAAAGAUGGUGAACUAUGCCUGAAUAGGGUGAAGCCAGAGGAAACUCUGGUGGAGGCUCGCACCGGUUCUGACGUGCAAAUCGAUCGUCAA